rnacentral:lncRNA from 1 species
UGUGGUUUCUCCGUCAUGCCAACUCCCGCAGACAAUGGCUGCUUUGUCCAGAAGAGAUGAUGAUUUAGAUGACAACCUGGCUUAAACCUCAGAAACCUUCAAUCUCUCCUUCUUCAAACAGUUUUUAUUAGAAGGAUGGCUGUGAAAAAUGAAGCCCUUAUGCACAAAGCCACCGCGUUUCACUGCGAUGUUCACCUGGCCUAUGAAGAUCUCCGGACACAAAACCAGGCAACAAAAUCAGGAUGCAACAAGAUGGAGGGGCAAAGCACAGAAGCGGAGUGGGCCCUGCCGUAGGUGAGGGUUGCCAUCCUCUUACACCUGCCGCUUCAUGCUUGAGCUCAGGAUGGUGAUGAGUCCAAUCUUGUGCAUGUCUCGUACACAGAAGAGCUGCAAGCUCAGGAACAAAACGGCCACAUCAUGCACAGAAGACAGUGCCCCAUGACAGAUACUCCAUUUCUUACUCAGACACCCACUCUGAGAAAACAGUUGACUUUCACUGGCCAUGAGAACCAUCUGGAUUCUGGUGAUAACUGGAUCCUCCUGUUCCCAAGGCUACCCAUCAAGUAGGAGCUCACACUGCUACUGUUUCUCACAUAUCACUUGCUUGAUGGCCUAUGGGUAUCCUCAAAGCUCCUUGCUUCCUCUGGGAUCCACACUUCCUCAUGCGAAUCCAUGGAAAUAAGAAGAUAUACCUUCAUCUUCCCAAAAGAUCGGUUGGGACAGAGGUUCAUCUUGCUCCUGGGCCACUGCCACUGUUCAAGACUUGUUUGGUCAGAAGACUGCACUGGACCCUGCUUCUUCAGAAUGCUCUAAACCAAGGAGUAGCAAUAGCUUUCAAAUGCUUGAGUACCCUAAGUCUAGAGAACUCAAGUCAGUUUUUAUAGACAGUUCUCUCCCCGUAGUUUGGUCUGGCUCGUUACACUUGUAACGAAGACAUCAUACAUACACUCCCUUCUUGCAGGUACUUCUGUCUCUGUACACAGCUUUCUCAGUGAAAAGCGGAGGAAUUAAGUUUAAAAUAUAAUAUACAUAUGCAUAAAAACAUAACAAGGAAAGCCAUCAUUUUGUACAACUGAAUAAAUUAAUGAUCAUGUAGUUAAGAAAAGCAGAACUUCCUAAGUCCUUCUGCAACACAUUUGACCCCAGAUCAGGAAAUCUUAAGGAAAUGAACUUGAAUAUUGUUUCAUUUUCCUGGAACACAUUCCAUGUUUCAAAAGUCUUAGAAUAUGGACCAAAAUAAGGAUGGUUAUUUCCUUCUUAAUGAAGCUUUCAGAAAGAUAAUUUCCCAGAAAGUUUACAAAAAGAUGAAAAAGAACCACUCUUCCUUCCCAUGUUCCCCACCAGACUUGCCUUGGUUGUCUUGUGAGUUCUGUGGUCAUCUCCUAUUGUCUGGAAGCCACAGUAUCUCAGCUUUACAAAAGGAAACUCCAUGCACACCCUGUGUCACAAUACAGGAAGCUAGCCUCCUCCACCAAAGAGGAGCUUCAUCUGCCUUGACUUGUCAGCGCUUUGCAUGCUGGGAUUUAUGGAGAAUUGCUCAGGCCAUGCUAAGGAAUAUACAUGCAUAAUGGAGGCACUUCAUUAAUGGUUCAUGUGGGGGUGAAUUGUUUUACUAAUAUAAUUAGCUCAAUGAUACAGGUCCAGUAAGGAAGUGAAACCACAGAACUUCCCCACCCCCAAGAGAUGACCUAACAAAGUCAGUCAAUGUUGCAUAAUGUGAUUGUAUCAACUACCACAUAUAAGCACACCAUGCCCAGCAUGGUGGUACAUGCCUGUAAUCCCAGAUGAGACAGGUGGAGCAACCUGUGCAACAAACAUAGUGAAGCUGUGUUAAAACAUCAAAAUAAAAUACACUGGAUAAAUAAAGACCUUAUUAACCAUAAA